GAAGUAGACACAAUUUAAAGAAACGUGAAAAGAAGGAAAAGAAAUUCCAUGAGCGUUGGAACCGAAAGAAUAUCAGCAAGAUGCAAGCAGCCAACGGCAAUUUGGCAAAAGGUGAGACUUCCUAUUGGAAGGAACGUAAAAAAUGGCCAUAAGGGAGGGACGAAGGGGGAGAGAGAGAGAGAAAGAGAGAAGAGAAGAAUCUCUUAGUUGGGUGACGAAAAAGUGGGGAGAAGCGUGGGCGGGAAGAAGAGCAGCAAAGAGGAAAGUUCGCUCGAUCUCUCGUGGGAAUGUUACGAUAUUCGAGCAUUGUCGAGGAAGGCCACUCAAACGGUUACGUUGCGAAGAACGAUCGAUAAGAUCUCGGGAAGAGAUGUCGUCUAUAACGCGGUGGAAACGUUAACGGGCACUUGGAAUAUUUCGGUAUCGAUGGCUGGAUGUAUUGUAAACAAGAGGAGAAACGUGGAUACAUUUCGUAUAUGGAGAUGGAUUCAAGUACGAGACACGAGAAAGGAGUAUGAAGAAGAAAAGGAUGACAGAAAAAAUUCGAUUUCCAAUUUCUAUCACGUCAACUUUAAACAACCAAGCUUCCGUUCGAUUACCUUCUUGCCGUCGUUCUUUUUUUUUUUCAAUUUUCCACUUUCGUUCGAAUGUCUUUCUAUCGAAUAUGAAAAACAAUAAAAUAAAGAAAUGAUAGAGCCUUCGAUAUGAAAUAUAAAGAAAAUAUAGAUAUAUUUCAUUGGUAUUUGUAAAUUGUUUCUAUAAAAAAGCAUAUCUUUCUAAAAUGCUGUAAAAAUUCGUAUUUUACUGGUUUACUGUUUACGGCUGUUGAAAUAAAAACUACCUACCGAAACGAGCAUCGCUAAUAAAUUAGAACACUUUUUAAUUAUAAAUAAGCGAAAUGUGCAUUUGCGUGUGUAACGCAUGCGUUAAUGAAAUUGCAUAUUACUUUCGUAUCAUUUUCCUGUAAAAUUCACGAGCAUGAAAUUCACGAUUGUGUAACGAGAUGAUCUUUUAUGGAUAACACAAAACACAAACUUCGUGGAAAA